rnacentral:rRNA from 1 species
AGAGUUUGAUUAUGGCUCAGGAUGAACACUGGCGGCACGCCUAACACAUGCAAGUCGAACGGAGUUAUUGAAGCUUGCUUGAUAACUUAGUGGCGGACGGUGAGUAACACGUGAGCAACCUGCCUUCAGAGAGGGAUAGCUUCUGGAAACGGAUGGUAAUACCUCAUAACAUAUUGAUACGGCAUCGUAUUGAUAUCAAAGAUUUAUCGCUGAAAGAUGGGCUCGCGUCUGAUUAGCUGGUUGGUGAGGUAACGGCCCACCAAGGCAACGAUCAGUAGCCGGACUGAGAGGUUGAACGGCCACAUUGGGACUGAGACACGGCCCAGACUCCUACGGGAGGCAGCAGUGGGGAAUAUUGCACAAUGGGCGCAAGCCUGAAUGCAGCGAUGCCGCGUGAGGGAAGAAGGUUUUCGGAUUGUAAACCUCUGUCAUCGGGGACGAAAAUGACGGUACCCGAGAAGGAAGCUCCGGCUAACUACGUGCCAGCCGCAGC